CUGAUUGAAUGAUAUCUCUUAAGUCUUGGUUAAGAAAAGAAAUUUUAUAUAUGUUAUAGUCCAGAGAUACCUCUUUUUUUGUUGUUUUGUUUGCUUGGUGAUUGGUCUUUAUGCCUAGACUUUGUCCAAUUGGCUCCCUGUACCCCUUAGUUAUGCUUCCCUCCUCCCAUCUGACCUUCCUCUUCUCUGGAACCCUCAUGGCUAGAAAUUAUUAUACUUGUGAACUUUCGAGUUAGAAAUUUCUAGUUUCCUAGGUGAUCAUUAACUCCCUUCCUGUGACCUCAGAGGUAAGAAACCAAUCAGCUCCACCUGAACAGAAGCCCUCCCAACCAUUUUGGAGGCUCUCUAGUUUCAGAUCAUCUGUCCUCCAAGUUCCCCCAGCAUCUUCCUCUCUGAGUAAGCAAAUAUACUUCAGAAUGGACCUCAGAGUCCUGCUUUUUGCUCUCCCACUCUGGGGAACUCUGUUCAGUGUUGAAGACCUGCCCAUAAGAGGAGCUGAGCCUGCUACCCACCCACCUUGUCUCCUGAACACAUUGGCUGGAGUUCCUGUGUGAAAGCAUCUGUUGUAUAUUCAUGGAACUGGAAGAUUGCCCAAUUUGGAGGAAUAAUCCAGAAGGUGUUAUGUUUUCUACAUGCCAGCCAUAUCACUUGGGAAUUUAUAUCCCCAUCAAUACUAUGCUAAUAUGCUUGGUCCAUAGGAUCCUUACUGCUAGAGUGAUAUACGAAGUCUAG
rnacentral:lncRNA from 1 species